rnacentral:rRNA from 1 species
GUUGACCUCGGAUCGGGUAGGGAUACCCGCUGAAC